GUGCCAGCAGCCGCGGUAAUUCCAGCUCCAAUAGCGUAUAUUAAAGUUGUUGUGGUUAAAAAGCUCGUAGUUGGAUCUCAACAGCCUUGAAGCGGUUAACUUUGUAGUUUUACUGCUUUAUAGGCUGUGCUUUUGCUGGAGGUUUAGGGGUGCUCUUGAUCGAGUGUCUCUGGAUGCCAGCAGGUUUACUUUGAAAAAAUUAGAGUGCUCAAAGCAGGCUAAAAUGCCUGAAUAUUCGUGCAUGGAAUAAUAGAAUAGGAUGUCGAUCCUAUUUUGUUGGUUUUCGGGACUCGACAUAAUGAUAAAUAGGGACAGUCGGGGGCAUUUGUAUUCAAACGACAGAGGUGAAAUUCUUGGACCGUUUGAAGACAAACUACUGCGAAAGCAUUUGCCAAGAAUGUUUUCAUUAAUCAAGAACGAAAGUUAGAGGUUCGAAGGCGAUUAGAUACCGCCCUAGUUCUAACCAUAAACGAUGCCAGCUAGCGAUCUGCCUGCGUUUUUACUGUAGACUGGGCAGGAAGCUUCCGGGAAACCAAAGCAUUUGGGUUCCAGGGGAAGUAUGGUUGCAAAGCUGAAACUUAAAGGAAUUGACGGAAGGGCACCACCAGGAGUGGAGCCUGUGGCUUAAUUUGACUCAACACGGGAAAUCUCACCAGGCCCGGACACUGGAAGGAUUGACAGAUUGAUAGCUCUUUCUUGAUUCGGUGGGUGGUGGUGCAUGGCCGUUCUUAGUUGGUGGAGUGAUUUGUCUGGUUAAUUCCGAUAACGAACGAGACUCUGUCCUGCUAAAUAGUUUCUACUUCUCUUUUGAGUAGAAAUUUCUUCUUAGAGGGACUGGUGACUCUUAGUCACACGAGAUUGAGCAAUAACAGGUCUGUGA
rnacentral:rRNA from 1 species